AUCACUUGUGUCUUAUAAUAUUUCACUGUAUUUUUACCAGGGUGAUGAGCUACAAAGCGCUGACUCUUGCUGGAGGCUGAUACUAUAACUGCAAUGGCAGGUGUACGAGUGAUUACAUACAUUUGGCUCUGAUCCCUCACAGCAAUGGAGAUCAGCGCAGAGCAGUGAAGUACAGCUCAGUCAGCCCAUCCUGGCCGUUCCAAGCAAAGGGGGCUGUAAUUAUCCGGAGCCAGUCAUCUCAGGAGGUCGGCUGGGGUUUGGGGAAUGUGUCCCCCUCCUCCACACCUCUGUUCUUUUCACCCUUCAACCCUCUUUCCAUCUCUCUCUUCUCCAGCAAAAGAGCAUUUCCUCAGCUGGAGCGCUCACACUGCCGCACCAGAGUGGACAAGACAGGCCGCUCAGUGUCCAUCUCAGUGAUGUGUUUAAGUAUGUGAAUGCAUAUUUGAAUGAUUCUGAAGGAUCAUGUAACACUGAAGACUGGAGUAAUGAUGCGUAUAUUUCGGCUUUGCCGUCACAGG